rnacentral:lncRNA from 1 species
AGCUGAGUUUCGAUUCUUGAGUCCUUUUUCAUAUCCAUGUUGUGCUAAAACAACUCCAACUCAAUCAAGCACUUGACAAAUAUAUUGACCACAACUUACACUGCAACAUUACCUAUUCGCCAAAAUUCAGUACACCACUAUCUUUCAUGUUCAAUUCUUUUUCUGACUUCUAUUCCUUAAAUUUUAUCUUAUUUUACCUUUUUAUUUUAAUUUUUUUUACUUAUAUUUCUUUAAAAAUAAAAAAGAAUUC